rnacentral:rRNA from 1 species
CACGUAGGGCGCAAGCGUUGUCCGGAAUUAUUGGGCGUAAAGAGCUCGUAGGCGGUCUGUUGCGUCCGCUGUGAAAACCCGGGGCUUAACCCCUGGCUUGCAGUGGAUACGGACAGACUAGAGGUAGGUAGGGGAGAAUGGAAUUCCCGGUGUAGCGGUGAAAUGCGCAGAUAUCGAGAGGAACACCGGUGGCGAAGGCGGUUCUCUGGGCCUUACCUGACGCUGAGGAGCGAAAGCGUGGGGAGCGAACAGG